UUUGAUCCUGGCUCAGGAUUAACGCUGGCGGUACGUCUAAUACAUGCAAGUCGAGCGGAGUACUUCGGUACUCAGCGGCGAACGGGUGAGUAACACGUAGGUAACCUGCCUUUAAGACGAGGAUAACAGUUGGAAACGACUGCUAAUACUGGAUUGGAAGCGAGGAAGGCAUCUUCCUAGCUUAAAAGGUCCUUUAGGGGACUACUUAAAGAGGGGCCUGCGGCGCAUUAGUUAGUUGGUAAGGUAAGGGCUUACCAAGACAAUGAUGCGUAGCUGGACUGAGAGGGUGAACGGCCACACUGGAACUGAGACACGGUCCAGACUCCUACGGGAGGCAGCAGUGGGGAAUAUUGCACAAUGGAGGGAACUCUGAUGCCGCGACCCCGCGUGAGUGAAGAAGGGCUUCGGAUCGUAAAACUCUGUCCUUGGUGAAGAAACAGACGGUAUCCAAGGAGGAAGCCCCGGCUAACUACGUGCCAGCAGCCGCGGUAAUACGUAGGGGGCGAGCGUUGUCCGGAUUUACUGGGCGUAAAGGGUGAGUAGGCGGUUGUAUAUGUCAGGUGUAAAAGGCUAUGGCUUAACCAUGGUUAGCACUUGAAACUGUACAACUUGAGUGCAGGAGAGGUAAGUGGAAUUCCUAGUGUAGCGGUGAAAUGCGUAGAUAUUAGGAGGAACACCAGUGGCGAAGGCGACUUGCUGGACAUUAACUGACGCUGAGACGCGAAAGCGCGGGGAGCAAACAGGAUUAGAUACCCUGGUAGUCCGCGCCGUAAACGAUGAAUACUAGGUGUGGGAGGACUGACCCCUUCCGUGCCGGAGUUAACACAUUAAGUAUUCCACCUGGGGAGUACGGCCGCAAGGCUGAAACUCAAAGGAAUUGACGGGGGCCCGCACAAGCAGUGGAUUAUGUGGUUUAAUUCGACGCAACGCGAAGAACCUUACCAGGGCUUGACAUCCAACUAACGAAGCAGAGAUGCAUUAGGUGCCCUUCGGGGAAAGUUGAGACAGGUGGUGCAUGGUUGUCGUCAGCUCGUGUCGUGAGAUGUUGGGUUAAGUCCCGCAACGAGCGCAACCCUUAUUGUUAGUUGCUACGAAAGAGCACUCUAGCGAGACUGCCGUUGACAAAACGGAGGAAGGUGGGGACGACGUCAAAUCAUCAUGCCCCUUAUGUCCUGGGCUACACACGUAAUACAAUGGCGUUUAACAGAGGGAAGCGAAGGAGCGAUCCGGAGCAAAUCCCCAAAAAGCGUCUCAGUUCGGAUUGCAGGCUGCAACUCGCCUGCAUGAAGUCGGAAUUGCUAGUAAUCGCGGAUCAGCAUGCCGCGGUGAAUACGUUCCCGGGCCUUGUACACACCGCCCGUCA
rnacentral:rRNA from 1 species